AGAGUUUGAUCCUGGCUCAGAACAAACGCUGGCGGCGUGUCUUAAGCAUGCAAGUCGAGCGGCAAGGGCAGCAAUGCCCCUAGAGCGGCGGACUGGUGAGUAACGCGUGGGUGAUCUACCUUUGGCAUGAGGAUAGCCAUUAGAAAUAGUGGGUAAUACCGAAUACGUUCGGCACCGUGAGGGUGCUGAGGAAAGGUGCUACGGCACCGGCCGGAGAUGAGCCUGCGUCCGAUUAGCUAGUUGGUGAGGUAAAGGCCCACCAAGGCUAUGAUCGGUAGGCGGCCUGAGAGGGUGUACGCCCACAUUGGGACUGAGAUACGGCCCAAACUCCUACGGGAGGCAGCAGCUAAGAAUAUUCCGCAAUGGACGAAAGUCUGACGGAGCGACGCCGCGUGGAUGAUGAAGGCCGAAAGGUUGUAAAGUCCUUUUGCUGGGGAAGAAUAAGUCUGGGAGGGAAUGCCCGGAUGAUGACAUGAACCGGCGAAUAAGCCCCGGCUAACUACGUGCCAGCCGCCGCGGU
rnacentral:rRNA from 1 species